rnacentral:rRNA from 1 species
GAUGAACGCUGGCGGCGUGCCUAAUACAUGCAAGUCGAGCGAACGGACGAGAAGCUUGCUUUUCUGAUGUUAGCGGCGGACGGGUGAGUAACACGUGGAUAACCUACCUAUAAGACUGGGAUAACUUCGGGAAACCGGAGCUAAUACCGGAUAAUAUUUUGAACCGCAUGGUUCAAAAGUGAAAGACGGUCUUGCUGUCACUUAUAGAUGGAUCCGCGCUGCAUUAGCUAGUUGGUAAGGUAACGGCUUACCAAGGCAACGAUGCAUAGCCGACCUGAGAGGGUGAUCGGCCACCCUGGAACUGAGACACGGUCCAGACUCCUACGGGAGGCAGCAGUAGGGAAUCUUCCGCAAUGGGCGAAAGCCUGACGGAGCAACGCCGCGUGAUUGAUGAAGGUCUUCGGAUCUUAAAACUCUGUUAUUAGGGAAGAACAUAUGUGUAAGUAACUGUGCACAUCUUGACGGUACCUAAUCAGAAAGCCACGGCUAACUACGUG